UGAGCAACCUGCCCUUGACUCUGGGAUAAGCCUGGGAAACUGGGUCUAAUACCGGAUAUGACUCCUCAUCGCAUGGUGGGGGGUGGAAAGCUUUAUUGUGGUUUUGGAUGGACUCGCGGCCUAUCAGCUUGUUGGUGAGGUAAUGGCUCACCAAGGUGACGACGGGUAGCCGGCCUGAGAGGGUGACCGGCCACACUGGGACUGAGACACGGCCCAGACUCCGUACGGGAGGCAG
rnacentral:rRNA from 1 species